GCGAAAGCCUGACGGAGCAAUACCGCGUGAGGGAGGAAGGCUCUUGGGUUGUAAACCUCUUUUCUCAAGGAAUAAGAUCUGAAGGUACUUGAGGAAUAAGCAUCGGCUAACUCCGUGCCAGCAGCCGCGGUAAUACGGAGGAUGCAAGCGUUAGCCGGAAUGAUUGGGCGUAAAGGGUCCGCAGGUGGCAGUGUAAGUCUGCUGUCAAAGAAUGAGGCUUAACCUUAUCAAGGCAGUGGAAACUACACAGCUAGAGUACGGUCGGGGUAGAAGGAAUUCCUGGUGUAGCGGUGAAAUGCGUAGAUAUCAGGAAGAACACCGGUGGCGAAAGCGCUCUGCUGGGCCGUAACUGACACUCAUGGACGAAAGCUAGGGGAGCG
rnacentral:rRNA from 1 species